rnacentral:rRNA from 1 species
GAUGAACGCUGGCGGCGUGCCUAAUACAUGCAAGUCGAGCGAACGGACGAGAAGCUUGCUUCUCUGAUGUUAGCGGCGGACGGGUGAGUAACACGUGGAUAACCUACCUAUAAGACUGGGAUAACUUCGGGAAACCGGAGCUAAUACCGGAUAAUAUUUUGAACCGCAUGGUUCAAAAGUGAAAGACGGUUUUGCUGUCAUUUAUAGAUGGAUCCGCUCUGCAUUAGCUAGUUGGUAAGGUAACGGCUUACCAAGGCAACGAUGCAUAGCCGACCUGAGAGGGUGAUCGGCCACACUGGAACUGAGACACGGUCCAGACUCCUACGGGAGGCAGCAGUAGGGAAUCUUCCGCAAUGGGCGAAAGCCUGACGGAGCAACGCCGCGUGAGUGAUGAAGGUCUUCGGAUCGUAAAACUCUGUUAUUAGGGAAGAACAUAUGUGUAAGUAACUGUGCACAUCUUGACGGUACCUAAUCAGAAAGCCACGGCUAACUACGUG